rnacentral:rRNA from 1 species
CCUACGGGAGGCAGCAGUGGGGAAUAUUGGGCAAUGGGCGCAAGCCUGACCCAGCAACGCCGCGUGAAGGAAGAAGGCUUUCGGGUUGUAAACUUCUUUUCUCAGGGACGAAGAAAGUGACGGUACCUGAGGAAUAAGCCACGGCUAACUACGUGCCAGCAGCCGCGGUAAUACGUAGGUGGCAAGCGUUAUCCGGAUUUACUGGGUGUAAAGGUCGUGUAGGCGGGGAAGCAAGUCAGAUGUGAAAACCACGGGCUCAACCUGUGGACUGGAUUUGAAACUGUUUUUCUUGAGUACUGGAGAGGCAGACGGAAUUCCUAGUGUAGCGGUGAAAUGCGUAGAUAUUAGGAGGAACACCAGUGGCGAAGGCGGUCUGCUGGACAGCAACUGACGCUGAGGCGCGAAAGCGUGGGGAGCAAACAGGAUUAGAUACCCGUGUAGUC